rnacentral:rRNA from 1 species
UUACAACUCCCAAACCCAAUGUGAACGUUACCAAACUGUUGCCUCGGCGGGGUCACGCCCCGGGUGCGUAAAAGCCCCGGAACCAGGCGCCCGCCGGAGGAACCAACCAAACUCUUUCUGUAGUCCCCUCGCGGACGUAUUUCUUACAGCUCUGAGCAAAAAUUCAAAAUGAAUCAAAACUUUCAACAACGGAUCUCUUGGUUCUGGCAUCGAUGAAGAACGCAGCGAAAUGCGAUAAGUAAUGUGAAUUGCAGAAUUCAGUGAAUCAUCGAAUCUUUGAACGCACAUUGCGCCCGCCAGUAUUCUGGCGGGCAUGCCUGUCCGAGCGUCAUUUCAACCCUCGAACCCCUCCGGGGGAUCGGCGUUGGGGAUCGGGACCCCUCACCGGGUGCCGGCCCUGAAAUACAGUGGCGGUCUCGCCGCAGCCUCUCCUGCGCAGUAGUUUGCACAACUCGCACCGGGAGCGCGGCGCGUCCACGUCCGUAAAACACCCAACUUCUGAAAUGUUGACCUCGGAUCAGGUAGGAAUACCCGCUGAACUUAAGCAUAUCAAUAGGCGGAGGAAAAGAAACCAACAGGGAUUGCCCCAGUAACGGCGAGUGAAGCGGCAACAGCUCAAAUUUGAAAUCUGGCCUUUGCUGCGACUGAUACGUACACUGUAGAGGAUGCUUUUGGUGAGGUGCCCGCCCGAGUUCGCUGGAACGGGACGCCACAGAGGGUGAGAGCCCCGUC